GUGGCGAACGGGUGAGUAACACGUAGAUAAUCUGCCUUUCAGACGGGGACAACUCAGGGAAACUUGUGCUAAUACCCGAUGAGACCACAAGAAGGGAUUUUAGUGGCCAAAGGCGGGCAGCAAUGCUCGUGCUGAAAGAUGAGUCUGCGUCCUAUCAGCUAGUUGGUGGGGUAAAUGCCUACCAAGGCUAAGACGGGUAGCCGGCCUGAGAGGGUGAACGGCCACACUGGGACUGAGACACGGCCCAGACUCCUACGGGAGGCAGCAGUGAGGAAUUUUCCGCAAUGGGCGCAAGCCUGACGGAGCGACGCCGCGUGAGGGAUGACAGCUUUCGGGUUGUAAACCUCUUUUAUUAAGGAAAAAGAACUAUAUGCUAAUAUCAUGUAGUUUUGAUGGUACUUAUUGAAUAAGCCCCGGCUAACUACGUGCCAGCAGCCGCGGUAAUACGUAGGGGGCGAGCGUUGUCCAGAGUUACUGGGCGUAAAGAGCGUGUAGGCGGUUGAAAAAGUCAGGUGUGAAAUUCUUCG
rnacentral:rRNA from 1 species